rnacentral:rRNA from 1 species
AUACGGAGGAUGCAAGCGUUAUCCGGAUUUAUUGGGUUUAAAGGGUGCGUAGGCGGUUUGCUAAGCGGGAGGUGAAAUGCCGGCGCUCAACGUCGGAAGUGCCUCCCGAACUGGUGGACUGGAAUGACUCUGCCGUGGGAGGAAUGUGUAGUGUAGCGGUGAAAUGCUUAGAGAUUACACAGAACACCGAUUGCGAAGGCAUCUCACGAAGGGUUGAUUGACGCUGAGGCACGAAAGCGUGGGGAUCUAACAGGAUUAGAUACCCUGGUAGUCCACGCAGUAAACGAUGAUGGCUAACCGCUGGUUUUUUCGGAUCAGUGGCCAAGCGAAAGCGAUAAGCCAUCCACCUGGGGAGUACGACCGCAAGGUUGAAACUCAAAGGAAUUGACGGGG